rnacentral:rRNA from 1 species
GCCGCGGGAAUUCGAUUGCUCAACCCUGGGGCGGGGGGCGAUACUGCCGGGCUAGGGGGCGGAAGAGGCCGCCGGUACUCCGGGGGUAGGGGCGAAAUCCGUUAAUCCCCGGAGGACCACCAGUGGCGAAAGCGGGCGGCCAGAACGCGCCCGACGGUGAGGGGCGAAAGCCGGGGGAGCAAACCGGGCUCAGGUCGGCGUUGCGCAGACAAUCUAAUCAUCCAGUCCCACCACGCGCGCCAACCCCCUCAUCUUUACCAAGCCGACCUGGCCCGGGCUCAAAGGGGAUUAGAUACCCCUGUAGUCCCGGCCGUAAACGA